AGUGAACGCUGGCGGUAGGCCUAACACAUGCAAGUCGAACGGCAGCACAGGAGAGCUUGCUCUCUGGGUGGCGAGUGGCGGACGGGUGAGGAAUACAUCGGAAUCUACUCUGUCGUGGGGGAUAACGUAGGGAAACUUACGCUAAUACCGCAUACGACCUACGGGUGAAAGCAGGGGACCUUCGGGCCUUGCGCGAUUGAAUGAGCCGAUGUCGGAUUAGCUAGUUGGCGGGGUAAAGGCCCACCAAGGCGACGAUCCGUAGCUGGUCUGAGAGGAUGGUCAGCCACACUGGAACUGUGACACGGUCCAGACUCCUACGGGAGGCAGCAGUGGGGAAUAGUGGACAAUGGGCGCAAGCCUGAUCCAGCCAUACCGCGUGGGUGAAGAAGGCCUUCGGGUUGUAAAGCCCUUUUGUUGGGAAAGAAAUCCAGCUGGCUAAUACCCGGUUGGGAUGACGGUACCCAAAGAAUAAGCACCGGCUAACUUCGUGCCAGCAGCCGCCGUAA
rnacentral:rRNA from 1 species